UACAGAGGGUGCAAGCGUUGUUCGGAAUUAUUGGGCGUAAAGGGCGCGUAGGCGGUGCGGUAAGUCUGUAGUGAAAUCUCUGGGCUCAACUCAGAGUCUGCUGCAGAAACUGCCGUGCUUGAGUGUGGGGGAGGUGAGUGGAAUUCCUGGUGUAGCGGUGAAAUGCGUAGAUAUCAGGAGGAAUACCUAUGGCGAAAGCAGGUAUCUGGGCCAUCACUGACGCUGAGCUGCGAAAGCUAGGGGAGCAAACAGG
rnacentral:rRNA from 1 species